rnacentral:lncRNA from 1 species
CCGAGCGCUGCCCCCCCCACAGCACGGGCCUGGGCCGGGCCCGGCGCUCCUGCUUUCCCCCUCCAGGCCCCGCCUUCCACCUUCGGGCCCGACUCCGAGCCGGCAGCCCCCCAGGGAGGGCCAAAAGCCCCUCCCCAGUACCGUGGCCGUCCCCUUCUCCCCGCCCUGCUAGAAGCAGCUGUGCAGCACGGAUCCAUCCAACCUGGUGCUGCUCCCCCGGUCUUGGGGGGCGCACGGGGCAGCACGGCGGGGGGCUGCGGUGCAGCGUGGGGUGUGCAGGCAGAGGGUUUGCCUCCUGCUUGAGGAGGUACAGCGCAGAGGCUGUGAAAGAGACAGCUGCGGGCCGAAGGGAUGGAGAGGAAGGGGAGGGAUGUGAGGUGGUUGGAUGCUGCAGGGCCUGGGGGAUCCCUGGCAGGAGGAGCGGGUCGCCCUGAGGUUGGCGGGAUGGAGGAUUUCAAUCCGAUGAUCCCCGUGGAUCCCUUCCAACCCGGGAUACCCGAUGGCUGCCGAUCCCAUGGCACGAGGUUGGUCCCGCUGACGGAUUGCAGCGCUGGGACGCUGCGCUGUGUCAGCUCGGACAUGUUUACCCCACUGCGACGGUCUGUGCUGACAUUCUGCCUGAGAGGGGAACACGGCGGCGGCUGCCUAAGUAUGGACAGCGUUUUCUGAAGGGAGACAGGGGAUGGGACGCAGGACAGAGCUGAGCCCGUACCACGUGUGAGCCGGAAAUGCCUUGUCAGUGGAAGCAAACUUCCUGUGCUUCUGGACAACGGCCAGAGCUCUGAUGGAAAACUGGCCAAAAUGUGUGUUUUCCUUGUGAAUAUUCCCUCCCUCUGAGCUGCUGGCAGCCCGGCCAUGUCACCGAACCACCUCCUCGUCCUCAGUGCCAUCACGUCCUCCUCUCCAUGGCUGGGAUGUCCCACGGUCCCUGGUGCUGCCCUCACCCAUCACCGCAGCCCUGGCUUGGCAGCUUCUUGCUCUGAGCCUCAGGCCUGGUAAAGGUGGCUUUAUCUGGCUGCAUCCUUUCCAUCUCGCAGCAAAGCCCAAAAAGCAAAGAGUUGUGAUACAGCAGAGGUCGGCAGGAGCUGCCCCUGCCUUUCAGAAGGAGGAGACCCUCUGCUGCCAGCAGGGAAAUCUCUUCUGUCCUGUUGUGGAUAAGAAUGAUUCACCCAGCGUAAACCAGCACUGCACCCUGUUAAGGGGUGAAAUCAGCCUCCCGAACCUGUGGUGUAUCCUCUGUGAUGCUGCUGUGGUCCCACCACAUCCCCUCCCCAGGGUCUGGUUUGGGGUUCACAGGUGUCAGUGAGAGCCCCAACAGCUCUGCUGGCUCCGAAGACUGGCGCAGAGCCGAACCACGGGUGGGGAGCAGAGCACAGCAGGGACAAAAGGCAGCGGGUGGAUGAAAAGCCCUCUUGGGAGCACCGAUGUGCCAUUCUCUGGGGCUGGCCUCCUGCCUGGACUCUGUCCUCAUGGUGUCACCAGUUCUCCCACAAAGAAAAGGGACAGGCAGUGAGGUUGGCAGCAUGCAGCAUCCCACCCUAUGGCACGGCACAGCGAGGACAGCCAGACCCCAGGAAAACCUCUGCUUGUGCUCUCAGGGCAGGCUGCAAGUGUGGGGAGAGCCCGGAACGAAGGCCACGGGGCUGCUAUCCACUCCUGUCCCUCCAGCGCGUGCUGUUAGACUAGCACCCAAAAUAGCAGCAGAAAUGCUAACACUCUUGCGUAUUCC